rnacentral:ncRNA from 4 species
CUCUGAAAAGCGGACGCGCAAGCGUCCCGCCGACGGUGCAAGCCGGCCGCCGCGUCUCUCGGGAGGCUCCGGGUGGCAUGGCAGGCCGGCGAAGCUCUCAGGCCCAUGACAGAG